rnacentral:lncRNA from 10 species
UGGGGUUUCACCAUGUUGGCCAGGCUGGUCUCAAACUCUUGACCUCAGGUGAACCACCCACCUCAGCCUCCCAAAGUGCUCCCAGGCUGUUUAUUUCUAAUUCAACAAAUAUUCGUUGAGCACUUCCCACAUGCCAGGUGCUGCAUGAGGCUCUGCGUGACAGCAGGGAACAGGACCUCCGUGGUCCCUUCCCUUCUAAGCACACAAUUAAUGCUUUAGAACCAGGCCUGGCAUUGAGGAAACUCUUAGUAAAUGUAAGCCAUUUGCCUGGAGCUCUGGAGGCCAGAGGAGGCACCCUGGAAGGCAGAGAAGGAGGUGUGGUGACAGAAAAAUCCUAAGGAAAGUGCACUCCCUUUUAUCACCAGGUGCUGCAGUUGGCUCCUGGUAUGGCUCAUUUCACUCUCACAACCACCCUACGAAGAGGGAUGAGCAUUAGCUCCAAUUUAUGGAUGAGGAAACUGAGGCCCAGUUUGUCAAUGGCACAGCCAGGACUGGAGGCAGUGAAGGGCUGGUCCCUUUUUCUCUCUGGGGCUCAAUAUUCCCAUCUGUGAAAUGGGGCAUUACAAUAAUACAGCUGCACCAGCUCCAGGGAGCAGUUGUGAAAUCAGAUGUGCCAGAAAAAUGCCCAUCUGACAACAAGAUAAGCAGGCAAUCUUUAUUUAAACUCCUUGUCAGGCCUUAAACAUGUAAAAGAUAAGGCCAGGUGUGGUGGCUCAUGCCUGUAAAUCCCAGCAGUUUGGGAGGCCAAAGAAGAAGGAUCACUUGAGUCCAGGAGUUCUAAACCAGCCUGGGGCAACAUAGUAAGACCCCUUCUCUACAAAAAAAUAAAAAAUUAGCCAGGUGUGGUGGUACAUGCCAGUAGUCCCAGAUACUUGGGAGGCUAAAUAGGAGGAUCGCUUGACCCCAGGAGGUCGAGGCUGUGGUGAGCCGUGAUUGCACCACUGUACUCAGCCUGGUGGACAGAGAAAGAGCCUGUCUCCAAGAAGAAAAAAUUGCAUAGAACUGAAAACACACACAAAAAUUAGUGCAUAUAAAUUGGGUGAAAACUGAAUUUCAUGCCAUGCGCGGUAGUUCAUGCCUGUAAUCCCAGCACCUUGGGAGGCCAAGGCGGGCAGAUCAUCUGCAGUCAAGAGUUCAAGACCAGCCUGGCCAACAUGGCAAAACCCCAUUUCUACUAAAAAUACAAAAAAUUAACCAGGCGUGGUGGCGUGUGCCUGUAAUCCUAGCUACUCGACAGGCAGGACAAUUGCUCGAAUCUGGGAGGCGGAGGUGGCAGUGAGCCGAGAUCGCACCACUGCACUCCAGCCUGGGCGACAGAGCACUCUGUCUCC